UACAGAGGGUGCGAGCGUUUGUUCGGAAUUAUUGGGCGUAAAGGGCGCGUAGGCGGCGCGGUAUGUCACCUGUGAAAUCUCCUGGCUCAACUGGGAGCUUGCAGGCGAAACUGCCGUGCUGGAGUGUGGGAGAGGUGCGUGGAAUUCCUGGUGUAGCGGUGGAAUGCGCAGAUAUCAGGAGGAACACCAAUGGCGAAGGCAGAUCUCUGGGCCGUAACUGACGCUGAGGAGCGAAAGCAUGGGGAGCGAACAGG
rnacentral:rRNA from 1 species